GGCGAACGGGUGAGUAAUGUAUCGGAACGUGCCCAGUCGUGGGGGAUAACGUAGUGAAAAUUACGCUAAUACCGCAUACGAUCUAUGGAUGAAAGCGGGGGAUCGCAAGACCUCGCGCGAUUGGAGCGGCCGAUAUCAGAUUAGGUAGUUGGUGGGGUAAAGGCCCACCAAGCCAACGAUCUGUAGCUGGUCUGAGAGGACGACCAGCCACACUGGAACUGAGACACGGUCCAGACUCCUACGGGAGGCAGCAGUGGGGAAUUUUGGACAAUGGGCGCAAGCCUGAUCCAGCCAUUCCGCGUGCAGGAUGAAGGCCCUCGGGUUGUAAACUGCUUUUGUACAGAACGAAAAGGUUUCUACUAAUACUAGGAGCUCAUGACGGUACUGUAAGAAUAAGCACCGGCUAACUACGUGCCAGCAGCCGCGGUAAUACGUAGGGUGCAAGCGUUAAUCGGAAUUACUGGGCGUAAAGCGUGCGCAGGCGGUUAUAUAAGUCAGAUGUGAAAUCCCCGGGCUCAACCUGGGAACUGCAUUUGAGACUGUAUAGCUAGAGUACGGCAGAGGGGGAUGGAAUUCCGCGUGUAGCAGUGAAAUGCGUAGAUAUGCGGAGGAACACCGAUGGCGAAGGCAAUCCCCUGGGCCUGCACUGACGCUCAUGCACGAAAGCGUGGGGAGCAAACAGGAUUAGAUACCCUGGUAGUCCACGCCCU
rnacentral:rRNA from 1 species